AGGGACUGAGGGUGUAGUUGAUGACAGUUUACCUGAAGGAAGGAAGGAAGGAAGGAAGGAAGGAAGGAAGGAAGGAAGGAAGGAAGGAAGGAAGGAUGGUUUGAAGGGACUGAGGGUGUAGUUGAUGACAGUUUACCUGAAGGAAGGAAGGAAGGAAGGAAGGAAGGAAGGAAGGAAGGAAGGAAGGAAGGAAGGAUGGUUUGAAGGGACUGAUGGUGUAGUUGAUGACAGUUUACCUGAAGGAAGGAAGGAAGGAAGGAAGGAAGGAAGGAAGGAAGGAAGGAUGGUUUGAAGGGACUGACGGUGUAGUUGAUGACAGUUUAGCUGAAGGAAGGAAGGAAGGAAGGAAGGAAGGAAGGAAGGAUGGUUUGAAGGGACUGAGGGUGUAGUUGAUGACAGUUUACCUGAAGGAAGGAAGGAAGGAAGGAAGGAAGGAAGGAUGGUUUGAAGGGACUGAGGGUGUAGUUGAUGACAGAGUGCUGU